rnacentral:rRNA from 1 species
CCUACGGGAGGCAGCAGUAAGGAAUAUUGGUCAAUGGACGCAAGUCUGAACCAGCCAUGCCGCGUGAAGGAUGAAGGUCCUCUGGAUUGUAAACUUCUUUUAUCUGGGACGAAAAAAGGGCUUUCUAGCUCGUCUGACGGUACCAGAGGAAUAAGCACCGGCUAACUCCGUGCCAGCAGCCGCGGUAAUACGGAGGGUGCAAGCGUUAUCCGGAUUCACUGGGUUUAAAGGGAGCGUAGGUGGGCAGUUAAGUCAGUGGUGAAAUCUUCGAGCUUAACUCGGAAACUGCCAUUGAUACUAUCUGUCUUGAAUAUUCUGGAGGUAAGCGGAAUAUGUCAUGUAGCGGUGAAAUGCUUAGAUAUGACAUAGAACACCAAUUGCGAAGGCAGCUUACUACGGGAUUAUUGACACUGAGGCUCGAAAGCGUGGGGAUCAAACAGGAUUAGAUACCCUGGUAGUCCACGCCCUAAACGAUGGAUACUCGACAUCAGCGAUACACUGUUGGUGUCUGAGCGAAAGCAUUAAGUAUCCCACCUGGGAAGUACGACCGCAAGGUUGAAACGUUAAAUGAAAUUGACGG